UACGUAGGUGGCAAGCGUUGUCCGGAAUUAUUGGGCGUAAAGCGCGCGCAGGCGGCUUAGUCAGUCUGACUUAAAAGUUCGGGGCUUAACCCCGUGAGGGGAUGGAAACUGCUGAUCUAGAGUAUCGGAGAGGAAAGUGGAAUUCCUAGUGUAGCGGUGAAAUGCGUAGAUAUUAGGAAGAACACCAGUGGCGAAGGCGACUUUCUGGACGGACACUGACGCUGAGGCGCGAAAGCGAGGGGAGCGAAGGGG
rnacentral:rRNA from 1 species